rnacentral:rRNA from 1 species
GUUGGUGUCAAUAGCUGUGAGGUUCCACCUGUUCCCAUUUCGAACACAGAAGUUAAGCUUACAUACGGCGAUGGUACUAUGGAGUAUUUCAUGGAAGAGUAGCAAGAUGCCAACA